rnacentral:rRNA from 1 species
UACGGGAGGCAGCAGUGGGGAAUAUUGGGCAAUGGAGGAAACUCUGUCCAGCGACGCCGCGUGAGGGAUGAAGGCCUUCGGGUUGUAAACCUCUUUCAGCAGGGAAUAAGCGAAAGUGAAGGUACCUGCAGAAGAAGCACCGCCUAACUAUGUGCCAGCAGCCGCGGUAAUACAUAGGGUGCAAGCGUUGUCCGGAAUUAUUGGGCGUAAAGAGCUCGUAGGUGGUCGAUCACGUCGGAUGUGAAAUUCUGAGGCUUAACCUCGGACCUGCAUUCGAUACGGGUUGACUAGAGUGUGGUAGGGGAGACUGGAAUUCCUGGUGUAGCGGUGGAAUGCGCAGAUAUCAGGAGGAACACCGAUGGCGAAGGCAGGUCUCUGGGCCAUUACUGACACUGAGGAGCGAAAGCGUGGGGAGCGAACAGGAUUAGAUACCCUGGUAGUCCACGCCGUAAACGGUGGGCGCUAGUUGUGGGAACCUUCCACGGUUUCUGCGACGCAGCUAACGCAUUAAGCGCCCCGCCUGGGGAGUACGGUCGCAAGACUAAAACUCAAAGGAAUUGACGGG